GACGAACGCUGGCGGCGUGCCUAAUACAUGCAAGUCGAACGGUGAGGCGCCUUGCUUGUUGGUGGGAGUGGAGGGGUGGAGAACGGGGGAGCAACACGAUAGUAACCUGCUAACACUGGGAGGAUAUCGGCAAGAAGGUGCGAAUAAUACGGGAUAUAUUGGACCGGUUGCUUGAUGGGUGUGAGAAGGUUUUGGUGUCGGUGGGAGAUGGGCUCGCGGCGUAUCAGCUAGUUGGUGGGGUAAUGGCCUACCAAGGCGGUGAGGGGUAGCCGGCCUGAGAGGGUGGACGGUCACACUGGGGCUGAGACACGGCCCCGACUCCGACGGGAGGCAGCAGUGGGGAAUAUUGCACAAGGGGCGCAAGCCUGAUGCAGCGACGCCGCGUGGGUGAUGGAGUCCUUCGCGUUGUGAACCUCUUUCGCCAGUGAAGCAGGCCUUCCUUGUUUGUGCGUGGGUUGACGGUAGCUGGAUAAGAAGCGCCGGCUAACUACGUG
rnacentral:rRNA from 1 species